ensembl:lncRNA
GAUGCUAAGAGCCAACUCACUGGAAAUGACCCUGAUGCUGGGAAAGCCUGAAAGCAGGAGGAGAAGGGGACGGCAGAGGGUGAGAACUCAAUGGACAUGAAUUUGAGCAAACUCCAGGAGACGGUGAAGGACAGGGAGGCCUGGCGUGCUGCAGCCCAAAGACGACUGCAAAGAGUUGGAUACGGCUGAGUGACUGAACGACAAAAUCCAGCCGUUACAGUGAACAACCUCAGGCUACACGGACAUUAAUGAGAUUUCACGUGCGCGACAUUAAGGCGGAGCCCUCUUGGUAGUCGCACUGUCAGGAAGAAAGAGAACAGGAGCUGCCGACUUUGGUGAGCAACAGUCCACCAGCACCCUUCUGUCUGUUUCAAAGCCUCUUCCCUCGUUCCCCCAGUCACUCAGGUGUCACUCAGGGAGUCGCAGGCACGGAUCAAGCCCCCGUGAAGUGAAGGUGCUGGACUGCUUGAAGAUUGCUUCCUCAUUUGGUUCUGGCUGAUCGCAUAGAACAGAUGAACACUGUCUCUAGCGAGAGGUGAUCUGGAGCCAAACUCGAAAUACCUACAAGGUCCGUCUAUGAUGUUCCUAUUAGAAGACCCAGGAAACAUACACUCGCGUGACGGAAGGAUACUCAAAUUACAUACGUUUAUAUCUACACGAAUGCCCACUUGAAAGAUGCUGCUAUUAUACACGUAGCAAAUGUUGCCAUGUUACUGAAAACCGGAAACUGUCCACAUGAUACCAAUCCUUACAAAAAUGAAACUGUCUUGGGUUUAAAG